rnacentral:lncRNA from 1 species
CAUCAGAACUUGGGACUAGAAGAAUACUUUUGCCCUCUGAGAGCUGAUUCUUAACACAGAAUAGAAAUGAAGAAUUACUCUAAAGAGAUGGACUACCUCAAGGGGACUAGAACUAUUGCCACUGAGGGCAGGUGAAAGUUCAGCCAACUCGGAACCCGGAGGCCCCACCUUACCUCCCUUUGUGAAGAGCCCAGAGCCUUUGUCUAAAGCUGCAUCACUUCCCACCCAGCCCUUCCUGAGCCAACUCCCCGAUGUCUCCAGAAGAACACAGUCGGCAUCAUCGUGAUAACAUCAGGGAAACUCCUAUUUCCAGCAGUUUCUCCUUCAGCUGCAAAAAUGUGCAGCAGUAGACAGGGUGUGGGUUUUUGAAGUCUCUGCAGGAAGUAGAGUUGUUUUCUCAGCACCACAUCUGAGCGCAUCUUCUAAGGGUGGCCGACUGUGUGGGAGCUGCAGGAGCUCAGCCGGGAUGCAGCCCUCCCAUUCCCCACCCUGUCCCCCACCACCACGGCUGGAUCCGACAGGCAGGGCAGGGCCCCAUGCCACGUGGUAACUGUUAAGGAAAAUGGAGCC